rnacentral:rRNA from 1 species
CCUACGGGUGGCAGCAGUAGGGAAUCUUGCACAAUGGGCGAAAGCCUGAUGGAGCAACGCAGCGUGGGUGAUGAAUGUCUUCGGAUCGUAAAACCCUGUUGUUAGAGAAGUAAGUGCGUGAGAGUAACUGUUCACGUUUCGACGAUAUCUAACCAGAACGCCACGGUUAACUCCGUGACAGCAGCCGAGGGAAUACGUAGGUGCCAAGCGUUAUCCGGAUUUAUUGGACGUAAAGGGAGCGCAGGCGGUCUGUUAAGUCAGAUGUGAAAGUCUUCGGCUGAACCGGAGUAGUGCAUUGGAACCUGGCAGACUUGAGUGCAGAAGAGGAGAGCGGAACU